AACGAACGCUGGCGGCAGGCCUAACACAUGCAAGUCGAACGCUCCAGCAAUGGAGAGUGGCAGACGGGUGAGUAACGCGUGGGAAUUUUCCCAGUGGUACGGAAUAGCUCAGGGAAACUUGGGGUAAUACCGUAUACGCCCUUCGGGGGAAAGAUUUAUCGCCAUUGGAUGAGCCCGCGUUGGAUUAGCUAGUUGGUGAGGUAAUGGCUCACCAAGGCGACGAUCCAUAGCUGGUCUGAGAGGAUGACCAGCCACACUGGGACUGAGACACGGCCCAGACUCCUACGGGAGGCAGCAGUGGGGAAUAUUGGACAAUGGGCGCAAGCCUGAUCCAGCCAUGCCGCGUGAGUGACGAAGGUCUUCGGAUUGUAAAGCUCUUUUGGCGGGGACGAUAAUGACGGUACCCGCAGAAUAAGCCCCGGCUAACUUCGUGCCAGCAGCCGCAGUAAAAC
rnacentral:rRNA from 1 species